rnacentral:rRNA from 1 species
UACGAAGGGGGCUAGCGUUGCUCGGAAUCACUGGGCGUAAAGCGCACGUAGGCGGCUUUCUAAGUCAGGGGUGAAAUCCUGGAGCUCAACUCCAGAACUGCCUUUGAUACUGGAGAGCUUGAGUCCGGAAGAGGUGAGUGGAACUCCGAGUGUAGAGGUGAAAUUCGUAGAUAUUCGGAAGAACACCAGUGGCGAAGGCGGCGCACUGGUCCGGUACUGACGCUGAUGUGCGAAAGCGUGGGGAGCAAACAGG